rnacentral:lncRNA from 1 species
CUUAAAAAGCUCUAAGUUUGGCUUCUACUGUUAAUCAGCAGCAAAUCGGAGUAGAGCACAGUCCUUGGUGUUCCUCAGUGUCUGUAACAGAAAAUUUGAGCAAGCCUAAAUGGAUGAGUGUUUUGUUUCUAAACUAAGUAUGGCAUGACUACUGUGGGAUUGUUGUUUCAUUACAUUACAGAUAUAUUGUUCAAAUCAUAUUUGUUUUUAAUCUCUGAGCACAUUGUUAAAUGUAACCCAACCAUAUCUGAACAUUUUUCAUUUUUACUGGUAUUUCAUUCUAAGCAUUUAUCUAGUUUAUAUGACUAACUAUGCUACCAAUAACUACUUCCCCCAGAGAGUAGUAUUAAAUGUUUUUGUUUGUUUGUUUGUUUGUUUUCCACGAGAAGAAAAAUUACUGUAAAAAUGGAGAACUCUUUUCUUGCAUUGUGUCUCCCUGCCAGACUGGUCUGGAGUAAUGUGCAAUAGAGUUCACACUGUCUAAUUAUGAAACUUGUGUUUUAUUCUAAGACAACACUGCUAUUAAAACUCCACCUGUCCAGUAAGUGCAAUAAACAUAUUAGUGAGUUUAAUCCUCUCAAGCACUGGGAGUUCAUAACUCAACAGUGACCACAUGGAUCAUUAGAUGCAAAUGAGUCAAAAUAAUUCAGCAACGUGCAUGCCUUCAUCAUAUCUGGUGAAAAUUGCUGUUUGAAUGUGAGUCUGCUGAGUUUUGUGCUAUGUCAUUUGAAGACUGAAAAUACCUGUACCAUGAAAUGCACAUUCUUCCUUUUAAAAAAAUGGAGGAGGAAAUCUUUGCAGUGUUUUAUCAUAACUCAGUCUUAACUUCUGAUCCCCUGCUUUUACCACCACAGUGCAUUUUUUCUUCAAACCAAUACAAGUAAAAGUCACAGUCUAUCUCUUGUUUCUGAUGUUAUGACAAACUGCAGGGGAGGCCAAUUAUUCUGUCUUCUUUUAGUGAGUAGUAGCUGAAGAAGGAAUUUCACCCUAUGUGUUUUUUCACUGGAACCUCCAGAUGGUCUGGUGUUACAGUGCUGCAUCCGACGCACUGACAAAUAGGCUGUCAGGGAAGAUCUUUCCUGUAAUGUACACUGUGAAACUAAACCAUCUAUUUGUUGAUAUACAUUGUUUGAAGUGUGUGCAGUUUGCUGUGAUGCAUCCUGAGAAGGUGACAUGUCUUUGUCUCUAUGUGAGUUCAGUACUUGAUUGAAGUAAAACUGAUGUUCCAUAUACUGAAUUGCCAAAUUAAGUUAUGUGCCAGAAAACAUCUGUUUUCUUUUAUAUAGUGACAUUUGCUCUGUGUAGCUUAUUGAUAGGUGUUUUUUUUUUUUUUUUUUUUAAGCACGGGUUUCAAUCCAACGUAAAUGAAGAAAUGAAGUAGCCCAUCAAAUAUUGGUCAUCUAUUACUAAACUAAAAGAAUACACUGAAAAAAAUGUGAUAAAUGUUUAAUAAUAAAAGAGGAAGAUCCCAAAGGACAAUUUAUUAGGUGGCUUGUAGAAAUGAUAUUCAGAUCUUAAUGAUAUUGAAGGGUAUUACAACACUGUUCCUACUUGACUAAGACUUGUAAUUCAGAGGCCUAGGUAAAGUGGAGCAAUUGAAGUCUUAUUCCAGUAUGGUGUCCCAUCACUUGGCUGUAUUUUUGGUAGAACAUCACUUUAAAUGACUGAUUUUCUCUCAGAUUGCUAUUGCUGUUGAUUUUGAUCUGAGACGUCAUCAUGUUGCUGAAUAAUCUGCAUGUUGAAAAUUAAUAAGUUGUAACAAACCACAUUCUUUUUUCUUGAUUUUAUUGUUUUAAAAUCACUCCUACCUUAGUGUGAUAAGUAUGGGGCUACAUUUAAACUCACAGAGUUUCAAGUUAUAUUUGUUGACACAUAAUUUGGUUUUCAAACUACUUAAAUCAUAAUCCUCGAAUGUAUAGUUGAAGGACUGAAGGAGAAGACCAUUUACUGGUGAUAGGUGUACACUUCUUUUAUGUGUGCAGUGUUCUUCCAAAAAAGAUGUGUACCUUGAAAAGGUAAAAUAAACCGUAGAAGUUUUCACGAAAAGCAGUCUUCCACUACUCUCUUUGACAGUUUGUAUAUGGAAGGGAGGUUAUUGAAUUUUCAAGUUUAAGAAUGUCAGACUCAGAGUAGAUGUAGUCCAAUAGAAGCUAAAUACUACCCUCGUCUACAUAAGAACUGACCAGCUUUUCCCAUGAAGUGGUUCUAACACUUCAUUUCACUCACUGUACAAAUGAAAGAAAUGUAAACCCUAAUUUCUCAAGGUAUUUUUAAUUAUGUUUGAAGCAAUUAAGUAGUUUCAGAAGUCAUUGUCCUGAAUAGCGUUGCAUAGAAUCCUACAGUUUUCCAGGUUAGCUUAUACAGCUUAUUUCUGUAUUUACAGUUCGUUUUAUAUCCUUUCUACUAGUUAGGAACAGAGAUUUCUAAAUAGACCUUGCAUGGCUUAUAAGAUGAACAGAUCAUCUUGAAUGCAAUCACACAGCACAUGCAGGACAACUGGGGAUCAGGCCCAGCCAACAUGUGCUCAUGAAAAGCAGGUCUUGCUUGACGAAGCUGACCUCCUUCUAUGAUCACGUGACCCACCUAGUGGAUGAGGGAAAGGCUGUUGAUGUAGUCUACCUAGACUUUAGCAAAACCUUUGACACUGUCUCCCACAAUAUUCCCUUGGAGAAACUGGAAGCCUGUGUCUUGGUCAGGUACAGUCUUAGCUGGGUAAAGAGCUAGCUGGAUAGUCGAACCCAGAGAGUGGUGGUGAAUAGAGUUAAAUCCAGCUGGCAACUGGUCAUGAGUGGUGUGCCCCAGGAGUCGGUGUUGGGGCCCAUCCUGUUUAAUAUCUUUGUUGAUGAUUUGGGUGAGGGAAUUGAGGUUACAAGUGUAAUUAGUAAUAGGACUAGAGGGAAUUGUUCACAAGAUGUGCCAGGAGAGGUUCAGGUAGGAUAUUAGGAGAAAUUUAUUUUCAGAAGGAGUGGUUAGGCAUUGGAACAGGCUGCCCAGAGAGAUGUUUAAGUCACAGAACCUGUAUGUGUUCAAGAAACAUUUGGAUGUUGUACUGAGGUACGUGGUUUAGUAGGGAAAUACUGGUGGUAGGUGGAUGGUUGGACUAGAUGAUCUUAGAGGUGUUUUCCAUCCUUAAUGAUUCUAUGAUUCCAUGUUCUGUAACAUGUUCAAUGCAGAUUUAAAAUGUUUUCCCUUGCAUCAGUGCUUUUGACACAACUUUUUGCUGUUCCUUUUUUUUUCCUCUCUGAUUUUGCUUAAUUAAUAAUUAAUUGUUACAGACUGGUUCUGCUACAAUUUGGUAUUUGAUGCUUUGGAUUCCAGAUCCAUUAACCUCAAUGUAUAGGCCAACAGCAAGUAAAUUAGUGAGACUUACCGUGCAGUAUUUUCAAAAGGAAACAAAUACAAGUACUUCGAGUACUUAAGAAAGGCUUCUAAGGAAACAGACAAAGAGAAACAACGUUUGAAGGAGUUUUUAAACCAUGAUAUUAAAGGAGAAAGCAAAGCUGUGAAAUGUUAUUGUAAUUCAGAUUUGGACAGUGUCAGAUUCAGCAUCAGUACUGACUUUUCUGAGUGGACUAUCACACAUUAAAGGUAUAUUUAAAUACUAUUUGUCUGGUUUUCACUUGACAUUUCUAAUGGAAAAAAUAAUAAAGUACUGCUUAGUUUAAUUAAUUUUUCUUUUAAAUAACACAUAUUCGUAGAAUCAUAGAACAAUUAAGGUUGGAAAAGACCACUCAGAUCAUCUAGUCCAACAAUCAAGCCAUCUGAAAUGACUUGAAUUUUUAAAAAUGCUGACUAUUUGGUAUUUGAUUAAUCUUUGCCCAUUUGAUUGGCCUACUGGUCAGAACAUGUGCAGUUUUGAUAUUCAACAAAAUUGUGUUUUAUUUCAAUAUGCAACUUGUCUCAACAUGGAUGAAAGAAGCUACUGUGAAGGGCCUUCCUACAGUGUUAGACGCGGUAUUAUUUUUUACUCACCUGGACUGCAAUGGGUAGCCCUGACUGCUCUUAAAUACCAGCAGUGUCUCACUAGGAGAUCUUGGAUAUUUUAUGAUGAAAUGGUGAUAAAAAUUUUUGUAUUUGGUCUUACCGUAGAAAAUUCUAUCUGGAUACAUACUUAGCUAUGGUGAUGGCUUGCAUCACAUAUCCACAGAUGUUUUUGUAUAAAUAUGCACAAAUGAAUGAAUAUCCUUUUAUACAGGCAAGAAUACAUGCAUACCUACAGAUGAUAUAACAUACAUCUCCAUAAUGCAUAUUUCUGCCCUUAAUAGGUAUUAAAUGUUCUAUGUCUAAAAGCAGUUGAGGUCUCCUAUAGGGAGAGUUUAAAUAUCUCCUCUCAGGGAAUAUGCAAUUAUAUCUGAAUAUGUAUGUCUUUAUUUGUGAGAAUUUGUGGCAUUCUGUUCCGUAGUGAUCUGUAUGUGUGUGUGUUUUCAUGCUGGUGUUUGUGAGAAAAUCGUCUAUGUGUGACAAGAAAUAAAAAACAUUCUCCUGCUCACAUUGUGAAUGCUUAUGAAACUGCUGUUAAACAGACAGUGGAAAAUUAUUUGGCUGGAAAUAUUUGCACAUUAUGUGAACAAAAAUUUUAAAAAAUUCUGAUAAAAUUGCUUUUUGAAGCAAUGAAUAUUAAAGCACAGAAACUCAGAAGAGUUUUGUUUAUUUUAUCAAGCUAAAAUAUUAACAGUUAUAUAUUUAAUAUUGAUCUAAUUUGUUUCUCUGAUAACAUGUACAUUGGGGUAAUAAAUUUAAUCAAAUAACAGAAUGUGAUAUUUCACAUAUGCAAACACACAAUAUAAAAAUUAUAUUUCCAUUUUGUUAGUCAAAACUAUUACUUAGUGGAAACUGAGUUUCAGAAUAGGAUAAGGAGUUGUAUUUUGUUGUCAUUAAAUAGGAAGUAAUUUGACUUGUACACUCAAAGUAAUCUCUCUAGUCAAUCAUAACAUAGAUUUCAGGGCUUAUUUAACAGCUGCUUCCAAGGUAUGUAUUACUUCAACUUUGAAAAUCAUUCUUUUUGGUGUUUUAAGAUAAUUACAGCAUAUUGAAUGUACGUUUUGGACAUGAUCUCUCAUUGCUCAUUUCUGUUGUGUUACAAGUUGAUGAAAAGUAAACAGCUUUUUGAUGCAAAGUCUAAAAUUUUGAUGUAGUGUACAGCUGUUCAGGAAUGCUUAGUUAGAAUACUUUUAUAACAAAAAGUGUUAUCUAGGCAAAAUUGAAACCUUUUGUACAAUUUUUUUAAUGAAAAAUAGAUUUAGUUUCUAGCCAUAUCUGACACAGUAAUGAUGUGAAAUAUAAUUUCUCUAUGCCUGUUGCACUGCCAUCAUGUUUCUUCCUGAUUAAAGUGAUUCUGGUCUCAUGAUGCUGUAAAAUGCUGCAGUCAAUUUUAUUUUCUUCAAAGAAAACAACUCUGUGAAAACAUUAGCACAUACAUUUCAUGAAAUUAAUUGGAGAUUUAGUUUUGAUGAGAGACUGCUAAGCAGAGGAAAGAUUGUACAUGAUGAUAUUGCUCAAAUUCCUUUAUGGAAUAAAAAAAAAAGCCAUACAGGUUUGUUAAUGAGGUCAAAUUUCAAUCAAAACCAAACAAUUUAUUAUUAUAUGAAAUGCACAAACAUGAGCUGAACUGUAAAGGAGGCUUUUUUUUUUCUUUCCUGUUUUUUAAUAUGUAUACAGCACCUUUUUUUUUUUUUUUUUUAAUGAGCAGCUUCAGCUGCAGUUGCUAAAACCAAAGAUAUUGAUUUUAUUACAAACCAGAUAGUUUUUAUGAACAUCUGUCUUUCAUAAACACCAUGGAUGUUUGGUAAAAUAUUCUUGCAGCUGAAAAGGGAUAAACCAGGUGAGCUAUUAUGCAAGUGAAAUGGAAGAUUAUGAUACUGGAAUCUCACCUAAUUUCACCUCCUUCCCCUCCCUAUCACCCCUUUUUCAGUCUCUUUUUAGGGAAAUUAAAAAUCUGUGGAUGUCCAAGGUUGCAAAGUUCUGAGCUUAUGCUGAACCUUUUGCUGAUUAAAAUUUUGGGUUAUGUUUUGUUUCUCUUGAAAGAAAAAGCCCCAUACUUAUAAGCAUGCUGUUAGCUUUAUUCCUCAUAACGAAAGCUUCACCUAAAGAUGCCUCUUAAAAAAAAAAAAAUCUAUUUAAGUAAUUAAAUAUCAAUGUUCACAGAAUGCUACAGGUUUUUAAAAAGUAUGAUUCUGCUGAAUAAAAACUGACAUAUGUAAAAACUAAUUUUUCAAAAUAAAACAUUUGAAAAUGAUGAGAAAAUGUCUUACGGUUCUACUGGAGUUUCUUACAUUUGUUACAGCAACACAUGGCUCACUUGGGAAAUGCUGAGCUGGCCUGACAUUUUCUAUCCAAUACAACUUUUUAUCCAUCUGUUUUCAUAUAAAUUAUUUUUUCAUUUCUGCAUUCUAGAAGGGGGAUAAAAAUGAUUCUGAAAAACAGAAAAGCAGCUUAUGCUUUUAUAUGGAGAUAUUGCAAGUGGCAUCAUAAUAUAUGCUUUAGAACUGCAUCUUUUUCUGUAUUAAAGUGUUGAGUAAAAGGCUGGGGAGAAAAUGUCAGACAUAGUGAAGAAAGAUAUGGUUUAGUUUAAAUCGUACACUGAAGGAAGUGAAAAUAUGACUUAAGCCAAAAUAAGACAUGCUAAUAUGUGCUCCUUCAUGACACAUUUCCUCUGCAUCACUUUCUGCUGCUUGAAUCUGAUUCUGCAAGACCUUGCACACAUGAAUAGUCUCACUAAACAUGACAGGACUGCUGGAAGAGUUGGCAGGUCUGGAGCCAGAAUGUGUCACAGUUACAUGACACCACAGUGAAACCAGCUGAGUAUCAAGGGAUAUUGAUAGUUGAGAACUAAAAACCUUUUUUCCAGGUUGCUUUCAAACUGUUUUGUGUGUUUUAAACAUAUUACCUUUUUUCAUAAGUGCUUCAUAAAUGAAGAAUACUGCUUUCUUCUCCACCUGCCUCUGCUUUCUUCCUCUCUUUUCUUCAGGAAAACAAAAAAUAGAAGGAAAAGUAUAUCAUGUACCAUCUUUGUUUCUAUAUAUUCAGCAAAUAAGACAGUAAAAAAAAUUGGAGAUUUUGUGUAUUAAAUUGACUAAACUAUAUCAGGAAAUCUAAAUUGCUUUAUCUCAAGCAAGUCCAACAACAACUAUUACAGAACUGUUUAGUGGUGCAUCCCUGCAUGCUUAUUGAACAUCUUCACUGUAAUCAUGUCAUAGAAUCAUAGAAUAAUAGAAUGGAUUAGUCUGGAGAGCACUUCAAAGAUCAUCUAGUUCCAGCCACCCCUGCAAUGAAUAGAGCUGCCCCCCA